UUUGCUUUUAUUAACAGAUGUUGAUGCUCCUCUAAAAGCUCUACCAAUAUAAGAUGUUGAACCUUUUUUCAUUUUUUAUUAAUAAAAGAUCGAUGCAAAACAAAAAUACAAUUUUAACAUAAGAAAUAAGUUAUACAACAUCAUUGUAACAAAAUAAAAACAACACAUAUAUUAGGUGAAGACAUGGUAAAACGAUGGCAUCUUCUCUCAUAUUUAAUAACACUUAGGGUACAUCGUGAAAAGUGAUAAAUAUACAAUGAUGACUUUUUCAAAUCAAUUCAAGGAGAGGUAACGAGGCGGCUAGACAAGAACACCGUGCACCCGUCCUUUGGCGACAUCGUGGGGAUAUGCACAAUCUCAUCGCAACCAUCUGAUCGGACCCUCUUGAAAUCAAACAUCGAGGAGAACAUGGCAAUGAAGAGCACGAGGUGGUUCAGCGCGUAACGUUGGCCCACGCAUUGGUGCGAGCCAAUUCCAAAAGUUAGGAAAUUGCGUUUGAACACCUCAUCCUCUUGCCUUGUCUCGCUAAACCGGUCAGGAUCGAACCGGUCUGGUUCAGUAAACCCUUGAAAAGAGGCGUCAAAAAGGGAAGGAAACACAAUUGUACCUUUUGGGAUUGUGUACGAUUCCGUGAGACGGAAGUCACUAACAGCAACAUGUGGGACCAUACUUGCUGGUGGUCGGUAUCUUAAGACCUCACGCGCCACAGCCCGAAUGUACUUCAUCUCCGCGAGCUGAUCGGCUGUGAUCGACUCCUUGGACUCAGGCGACCAAAAUCUUGCAACGUCCUCCCUCACUCUUCUUAGCACUUCUGGCUCGGACUCAAGCAGCACCACUGCCCAGAGGAGUGAUGACGUAGACGCGUCCUGUGAGGCAAACAGAAAAUCAACGAGCACACAACUAAUCUCUUCGUCUUUGGAGUGAGGCGGUGGAGGACUCUCAGCUACGAUCGAAUGCGUCCAGAAAUCGACUAAACAUGUUGGAUUCUCUCCUGCGGCCAUCUUUUCUUUUGAUUUUCUCACGCAAAGAGACAUUGUAUUCACUAGCCUCGAUACCGCCCGACGAGCCUCCCCGAACGUGAAGCCAGGGAGGUCGAUCGGGAGCGCCAUUGUUCCAGGAUUGAACACAUUGUAAUCAUCACGGAUCGUGUUCUUGACUUCCUUGUCGAGAUAUGGUCCAACAAAAACCGUCUGAGAAGUCUCGAGGUUGAGUUCACGGAUGAGUUGUCUCAUCGAAACCGGACGAGAUCCACUGGAAAAACUUUCCUCCCACUGCCGUAAAUGACGGAGGAUAACUAUUUGCUGGAGGGAAGAAUAAGCAGAGAGUGGCUUGCGGGUGAAGUUAGGAGCGACUUGACGACGAACGGAUUUGUGAUUCUCGCCAAACAUAAAGAUAAGGCUAUGAUCACCGAAGAGCUUCUUUCCGAAUGGAUGUCCAACAAGUUGGAAAGCAUCGGGACGAAUGUUGGAGAAGACUUUAUUGGAGAGCUCUGCGUCUUUAAUGUAUAUGAUGAAUUUUCCAAUAAGGUAGUUGACGGAGAGGCCAACGGACGUGUCCGCCAUCGCGGAUUGCUUGUCCCAGAAGGAAGUUGGGUCGCGAAUAAGUGCAACAACAUUUCCAAUUAUCGGAAAGACAAAGAGAGGGCCAGGGAGGUUACGUUUCUUGAGACGGUAAAAGAGUUGCUCGAGCAGAAGGAAUAGAAGUAAUGCUGAGACUAAGUACGGUGUAAGAGAAGCAAAUAGGGAAACUGAGGAAACCAUUGCUCUUUGUUUUCUAUUAUUUGCUUUUUGUCGUACUUGGUGUUCUUAGUUUGGUAGGUUUUGCAGAAUAUUUAUAAGAGGUUUUGGGAUAUUAAAUUGAACUGUUUGCAAAUUUAUUAAGACAAGAAGAAUUCAAAUGUCUUUCUUUUUUGGGCAGUCUUUUUUUUUUUUUUUUCUUUUUCGUUUUGUUUCCUCUUUUGUCAAAUGAUAUGUCUUUGUCUGCUCUGUUUUUUUAACUUCGUAAGUAUGUCAUUGUUCACGUGAAGAGAGAAAGAGGAAGAUUAUUCUAUUGAAUUGAUCCUAAUUUGUGAGUUUACGUGAUUAAUGACUUUUUGUGUUGAAACCAAAUGACUUGUGAUGAGUUAUAGAAAUUUUGAUGUUGUCUUUACCAAUGACUUUGGUUUCAACUACCAAAUGAACUUUUUUGUUUUUGUUUUUGACAGUCUUUGUCACCUUAAAAGGCAUAGUUUGGGAACCAGUAUAUCAAACCUAUUAACCUGAUUUCGUCUAAAUUCUCAAAAUAUCUGGAUAGAGAAAUUCGCAACAUCUUAUAUGCCGGUCGGGAAAAUAAACGAUUUCUGGAUGCAUUGUCACUUUAGUUUAGAGUUUCAUAACACAAGCUUUAUUCUUUUGGCUGUAAGGCUCUGAAUUGGAUACUAGGUUCUAUUAUAGCACUCACGCUCAGUUUUGUUUCAAGCCUAUAAGGUCGACGUUAGCUAACUUAGCUUACACGCCUGCUUGUUUUUCUUCUAUAGUUUCGUUGUAAUUUGUUUUUUUUUUUUGUUCUAAAUAUUAUUAUUAUUAUUUAUAAAUAGAAAUAAUAUUAAAUUCUUACUAUAUUACUUUGUGUUUCUAGUGGCCGUUUUAUAAAUUCAACUUGUUUAACACAUUAUUACUUUAUCAUUUUUACUAAUAGGAUCUAAUACAAUAUGACCAAUCAUAACUAUUAUCUUUGAUUUAAUUUACUGAUAAUUUAUAGUUUGAUUAGAACAUAUAACCUAUGAUUUAACGAUAACUUAUAGUUUGAUUAGGACACAUAACCUAACAAUGCUCUCAUCCUACAUCAUCUUUGAGGAAUUACGCAAAGCGGCUUUUGACAUACAUCGAGACAAAGCACCAGAGCCGGACUGUUUUUGUGCUAGUUUUUUCCGCACUUAUUGAGAUAUUAUAGGAGCUGAUAUUUCCCAAGAGAUCCAAACCUUUUUCAAUUUUGGGUGCAUGUCAAUCAGAAUGAAUGAGAUAUCAGCUCCUAUAAUAUUUUUGGGUCCAUGCAAAUAUUAUUAGUAUGCAUUACCUUUAUAGGCAUUAACGGUGCAUUUAUUUUGAUGUUGCUAUAUGAUAUAUUUGGCCAAUUUACUGAUAUAAUAAACCGUAGACUAAAGACUUGGUAAAUGAUAAUAAAAGGCUUUUAUUAAAAGCCCCACUAAACCGUUGACUCAAUACUUGGUACCAAUUAUUGAUGAUUGAAGGGGUGGAAGACUUUCGUAAAAUAAUUAAACCGUUGACUAAAGAGUUUCUUCUUAUUAAAAAGACCCAAUGGAGCAAGCAACGUAAUAAUGUGUGACGUUAAGUAUAUCGACAUCACUUUAACAAGCGACAUUUAUUUUUAUGUCUAAUAUAUUUGGUUUGGUUUAAGUAAGUUUAGUGACUGUUUUUCUGUGACACAAAAUCAAAAUCUCUCUUUUUACAUUAACCGAUGUAAACCGAUAACAAAUCCUUUGUUUUAGAUUUAUUUUAAGUCGGUUUAGAUUGUCACGUUAAUAAACCGAUAUAUACCCGCAUUUGUUUUGUAGUAGGAAUGUCAAAAUAAGUUAUUGUCUAUAGGUUGACUUGACCUUGUUUGCCCAGGUUUCUAGUGGGUUUGUGUUGAGAUGUUAAUCCAUAUUAAUAAAUGAUGGUCUUGUGUUUGUUUGUAUCUCAUCAUCAGUUGCUGGAUCAGUGAGACUUAAAGAUGUUCUUUCUCUAUUUGAGGCCACUCAAUGUCCAUUAGAUAUCAUGUGGUUGGCAAUGUUAUCUUGUUACGCAGAGCAGACAUGAUCAAUGGUUGUGACUGGUGUGCGGAUUUGUUAAACUGAUUAUUUGUGUGACAAGAAGACGCAUAAUAGUCAUCCCAUGCAGGAUUGGUCUAACAUUUUUCUACUAGUGCGAAGAAGACAAGACAUGUGAACUUGGGUUUCGAUUUCUUUUAAAGCCCACUAAAAUAGAUAUUUAUAAACUCGGAUUGGGAAACACCUUCGCCUUAAUUUCAGUGAUCAAGCAUUUAAAUCAUCUUUUCAAAACUAAAUUCUACUUUUACGUAUCCAAGGGGUAUUUUUACCAACUCUGUUGUCCAAUCCCAAUGCUUUAAUGUACUCUAAAAUUCUAUUAAUCGUCGUGCAUACAUCCCGAUUAUUUCCAAUGUACAAAAUGUGUUAAAUCCAAGAGAAAAGAAAAAGCAUGCAAAAAGCGUAGGAUACUAUUACCCAAAAUCAAAUAGCCUUGUCACUUGUCAACAAAAAACAUACUAGCAAAGCUUAUUAAAAAUAUAUUUGAAAAAGUUAAAAUAAAUAUAAGUGAAAUAGAUAGUUUCUCACUAGAUAGAUAGUAUUAAACUUUUGAUUUGGGUGCCACAAUUCUAAUCACUAUUUCCGGAACUAGUUCAAAACAGUUUGUACUAAUGGUUAAAAUGUUACAUCAAAUCUAGAUGAUCGUCUAUGUUUGGUUGUCUCUAAAUUAUGGAGUUAAAGUCCUUCGAGAAUGAUUUUCAGAGUUUGAUCUUACUCACCACCAAAUCAGAUCCUUGAAAAUCUUCUUUUAAUUUUCUAUUUGCUGCUUGUCGAGAGUUUGGAAAAGUAACAUUUUUGUUUUUGCUAAUUGUUGCAUUCACAACUGCAGCCUCGGGACUAAUUGUAGAUGCUGUUAACAAUUCAGUAACUCACGUUCAGAAAAAAAAGUUCUGAAGCUGGAUUUUCUGAAUGAUCUGAAGAUAAUAAUUUACAAUAUACACGUACACAAAUACGUUCACUUGAAUAAAUAGAUGAUAAGUACAAAAAUAAUUGUUACAAAACUGAAAACUCACAAAUUAAACAGUAUUUACUUUAAGGAUUUUUUACACAAACCUUUACCAAAAAUGUAUAAGUAGAUUGGUAGAGGAAUGUUAAUGAAUCGUAUAACAACAGUAAUGAUUUGAGAUCCGAAUAUAAAAUAUGCAAAUAAAGGUAAAAUUUGAACAGAUGAAACAAGUUAUAUAACAUUAUUGGGACAAAAUAAAACAAGAACACGAAUUAAAUAUGGUGAAGACAUGGCGAAACAAUGACAUCUCCUCUCAAAUUUAAUAACACUUAGGGAACAUCAUGAACAAUCAUAGAAUAUACACUGACGAUGACUUUUAUCAAAUCAAUUCAAGGAGAGGUAACGAGGCGGCUAGACAAGAACACCGUGCAUCCGUCCUUGGGCGACAUUGUGGGGAUAUGCACAAUGUCAUCGCAACCAUCCGAUCG
rnacentral:lncRNA from 1 species